rnacentral:rRNA from 1 species
UGCAACCCGACUCCAUGAAGCUGGAUUCGCUAGUAAUCGCGCAUCAGCCACGGCGCGGUGAAUACGUUCCCGGGCCUUGUACACACCGCCCGUCAAGCCAUGGAAGCCGGGAGUGCCUGAAGUGCGUGAGCGCAAGCAGCGCCCUAAGGUAAAACCGGUGACUGGGGCUAAGUCGUAACAAGGUACC